AAGAAAACAAAACGUCUCUGACGGGCUAUUAACAAGCUAACGCUAGCUUGUUGCCUGAGAAUGGGAAAGUGUCUGAAAUUCAGGAAGCCAGAGACACGGACAAGUGGCGGUUGAGGCCGAGGACGGUGGCGCUCACACUAUGGCGAGCGCUAAUGGAACAGCGGAGCUGGAAGGCCAGUCGGCAGGUUACUGGUCGGUGAAUGUUACCACAGCAACGGAGAGACAGUGGUGUAUGAGGACCGUGACUGUGUGUCGGCAUUGCGCUGCUGUUGUAGUCAUUAUGUGAAUGGAAACAUCCGACGUGCUAACGCACAUUAAACUUAAACCAUCACCCAGAUCUGUCGAUCACGGAAACGAGGAAUAAACAAGCCGGAGCCCAACUCUGCUUUCAAGCCAAUACUAUAUUUCAAACAGGCUUAAAGGGACUAUAUGUAGUUGUUCUACUGACUUUGCACUCAGCAGCGACGACACUGCAACUUAGGACAUGAAGUCUGCUAACACAAAGAAACUACCUGCACCCAGCACAACACAGACUCUAACGCAAUCUCCACAUAAGGAUAAAAAACAAAAAAAGUUUUAUCUGCUGAAGCUCAUCAGGCCAAAUGUGAAUCGGAUCGACUUCGGACGAAAACAGGGAUCAACAUCGGCAGGGCUUUUGAAUCAUGGAGUUUUGGGUAUAAAAACAGACCCGGAGUUGGCUUUCAUCCUAUUGGACAGGAUGAGUUGGAGGCAAUCCAGGAUGGAGCAGUGGCUCUGGUGGCAGUGGUGAAUGAAGAGGAGGUGCCUGCUGGAGUUCCCUUUGAAAGUCAUCACGUGUCAAUUGUCCUUGAGGAUCAGGUUGUAAUGUCUCACAGAUCUCGGACUGAUUCACUGGUGAUUUUGUUUGGACUGAUCUAUGCUCUUCAUUUGAGCUAUCCUGAGAAGCUAAGUGGCUUCUUUGAGGUCAUCCAGGUUAUCCUCUUAAAUCUUGAUGAUGGAAGAAAGCAGUUCAAACCUACAAGCCUUGAGAAAUGAGCUAGAAUAAAGGUGUUAACAUUCUUUUGUUAAAGGUCAGUGGGGUUCUGAAAAUUAUCUUUUGCCUUGCAUGUCAAAACUGUUUCUGUUAAGAUUUCUGUGUGUUGAAACAGAUGCUUGUUUAUAUAAUUACAACGGGGUUGGUUUCUACUUGUAGUGAGAAACACGGGCACUAAUUAAUAAUGUUAAGUUUAAAGGUAUUUUUGUGCCAGUACUAAAAUUAUGAUCAAUUGGUAUGACAUACACAUUUUUACACUACAGAACAUUUUGAGUCAAGCUGUGUAAAUGUCUGUCAAAAUCUGAGAAUUAAAUCUCACUGUACACAAGUUUUCAUCUGCUUUUAGUAACAACAAAAAUGCUCUAAAGAGUUUCUCUAUAUUCCUUUUAAAUAUUGUGAGGUAAAUGUUCUUUCUUUUAAAUGUUGCCUCACAAAUGACAGUAUUUGGUACAAACCCUUUGCAAGAAGAGUGUAUUCCAGUUGUUUGAAAUAUGGUAAGAUGGUCAUCACUGAGAUAAAAUAUUCUUUUUUCUUUAACAAUCUUGAGUUGUAAUUUUUUGUUAAUGAUAAACUCAAACUUUUUGAUUGAAUUGAAACAUAUUAGUAUACAGUAGCUCUCAAUAUGUGCCAAACUGUCCAUACAGUUGCAAAUAACUUGAUAGUUAUAACUUGAAAGAGCCUGGGUUCAAGUUUUCUUUUUUUCUUUUCACUACAAUGUGUGUCUGCAUUGUCUCUGUGGUGUCUUCACACUCUUCAUUGCCACAUGGGAAUAGCAUUCAUUAUAUAUUAUAUUAUUUUUAUGCAAAUCUUAAUUUCAUACUGUUUCUGACACUUUAUCAUAGUGUUUUUGAGAGCUGUGGGCAUUGAAAUGUUUUAACAGUGAUAUGUUAUUCAACAUUCAACUAAAUAAAUAGUUGGAGUUGU